rnacentral:rRNA from 1 species
GACGAACCGUGCGAACGUUGUUCGGAAUCACUGGGCUUAAAGGGCGCGUAGGCGGGUGUGCCAGUCUGUGGUGAAAGCCCUCAGCUUAACUGGGGAAGUGCCGCGGAUACUGCACAUCUUGAGUAGGGUAGGGGCAUCUGGAACGGUCGGUGGAGCGGUGAAAUGCGUUGAUAUCGACCGGAACGCCGGUGGCGAAGGCGAGGUGCUGGACCCUUUCUGACGCUGAGGCGCGAAAGCCAGGGGAGCGAACGGG